CAUAAUUUUCGUGUCAUUUAACCUCUAAAAAGUCUAUUCGCACGGCUGUAUCUCUUGCAUGCAACAGGCCCAUUGGAGCGCCAGGCGGACCCAUUCAGUGUUGCCUCUCACAGCAUAAAAACCCGGCGAAGACAACACAAAAGCACCGAUUCGGGAGCGCUGGUUCCAUUUAAUACAAAAUUUACGGUACUCUCGACGGGGAUCAGCGAAGAAAUUCGAGUGGGCUGUAAAAUUUUGCGCCUAAAAAGAUAAGCGGGAGCGGCUCCUCGCGGGAUCGGAUCGGGCGACGGGAUAAGCUUGACAACCCGAAAUAUCACCACGUGACCGGCUUUCGAUCCCGUAUCUCAAGUUUUACGAUAUUGAAGUUCCCCUUAAAAGUGGUCGGAUUACGGCUACCUUAUGCAAAGUCUGAGAGUCUUGAUUUUGAUUCCGGUCGAGUCUGCAAGGUGGAGUUUCCGAGAGGGUGAGGAAAUUACAGUCGAGAUGCUGCGAGGAGUUCUUGCAAUAGUGCUGCUGGUGGCUUGCUUCCCGAAGGACUCGACAGCAGGCAGUGAUGAUGGUAGCCCGGUACCUGGAUUCAGCUUCGUAGGCACUGGCACUCCCAGGGUAGCUAUGAGCGCUCCCAGCGGAAUGCUGUUCUUCGAAGAUAUACGGAACACUACUGCUUGGCAGCCAACAUUCAGCAACGAUCCCGUUUCGAUUUAUCAGGAAUUAUUCUUACUGAACGCGUUUGUGUUGUACCCAAAUACGACGGUAAGCGUGGACCUCGCUGAGAAGAUUGGGUCGGUCACGGCCAGGCUCAGCUCCAACAGCUUCAAGGCCACCCUCACCGCCACCGACGAUUCCAGCAACAACAGCUCCUGCCUACUGAAUACCCUGAUUGAUGUGCAAGCCCUGGGUGUGGAUCUGGAUCCACAGGAGUUAGCUAUUGUGGGUGCAGUGCGUCAGACGAUUUUAAGUGUUUCGGAUGUCUUAGUGGCAACUUUAGUCAAAUCUCUGCGGGAAAUUCUCCCGGAAAUCUUCACCAACAAGAUCACCGACGACCUCGGCCUGGAGGCCUUUUGUCGGACCCUCCUUGCAAGCAACUUUACUUCCCAUCCGGAACCACUAAUCUAGCCGCCAGACUUGCCACUCACUGUAAUAUAGUGGCCAUUUUUGAAAGUUGGCAAUGCUGGACUUCGCCCAUUUAAAUUAAUUAAAGUAAGACAUUCAUAGACAAUGUAUUUUGAAGAACAUAUACUGGAUUGUGGACAUAAUGGCUCAUCUGAUUUUCGUAAUGUCUCCUCCCUGACUAAUGCAUGGGUGUCAGUCAAUGUUGUUAUCAUGCUACGGACUGGGAGGGAUGCUGUGACUCUAAAUGAGUGUGAUUUUUUAUAAAGUGAAACAAAUUCUGGACUGAUGAUUGACUCAAAAGAAGGACAAUAAUUACAGAGCUAUUAAAACUUUGAAUUCAGUCGUUUCGAAGAUCGAGAUUGUGAUGUGUCGCAUUUCUUCCUCGAGAGGAUGGUUGGCGUUUCACUUUCCUACGGGUCGAAAUGGUAGAUUUUAUUUUAUUUGUACAAGAGGUAUAUUAUGUACAACGAAGUUUUUAGAUGCAAGUAGCAUCUUUGAAAAACUUAAAUUUAGCUUAUAAGAUAGACUUAUAUUAUGUUACAAACAUUUUAAUCUAUACAAUACAAACAAAAAAACAACCUCUAAACAUUGAGGAUAGAAAAAAUAAAAACAAUUUUUCUUCAUAGUAAAAAUGUUUUUUUGCUUUAACUUGAAAAAGCGGAUGACCGAGCCCGGUCAAAAACCCAAGAACCCCUGACUGCGUCCGAAAAGCACAAGGAGGCCCAUUGAUUUACAAGAAGGAGAAUUUUGAGAACCCCCGAAUUCCAAGCUCGUGGGGUUUGCGAUGUUUUAAUCUGCGGGUACAUUGGUCCAUCUCCAGGAACGCAAGCGCUUCUGGAUUGGGAUGCCUAUGUGACCUACCUUCAUAAGAGUUAUACAUUUUUGUUAUGUAGUCUUCUACAGAGUCAAUGUUGAGAUCGGCGCAAAUAUCUGCGUUUCUCUCAUACCAUCUGGCUUUUGAAAUGCCUCGUAAUAUUUUCAUUUGCAUGACUUCUAUCUUUUUUAGAUUUGACUUGGCUGCACAGCCCCGCAACUGGCAGCCAUAACUCCAAACCGGUCUCAACAUUGACUUGCAGAGGAGCAAUUUUGUUUCUAGGGAUAACUUGGAUUUGCGGCCAAUCAGCCAUUGCAUAUCAUGAAAUUGAAGUCUUAAUUGUUCGACUUUUUUCUUUAUGUGCGCGCACCCCACUUGAGCCUGGAAUCCAGGUGGACGCCGAGAUAACGGGCGACUGUGUCGCGAGGAAUUUCAGAGUUUCCCAAAUGAAGAGGAAUAUGAGUAAAAGGCCUGUUGGUAAAUACAAUUUCUACCGAUUUAGACGCAUUUAGUUUGGUCUUAUCUUUGCUUGUCCAUUUAUUAAUUCUGUUUAGAUGGGAUUGAGCGUUAAAACGUGGCUCCCUGUAGCUUUUCGAUGCUGGUAACACAAGCGUAUCAUCGGCAUACACUCCCAAUUUCCCCCCUCUCCCAGACUGCGGGAUGUCUGUGGUGAAAAGGGAAAAGAGAAGGGGGAAAAGACAGGAACCCCGCAGAACCCCUGCCUUUAUUGGUCUGAAACUUGAGGUUGUAUUUUCAUAACGCACUCUAAACUGUCUACCGGAUAAAAAGGAAGACAGGAGUUCCACAUGAUUACAUGGGAGCAUUUUGUAAAGUUUUUCGAUGAGGCGCUCGUGCCAGUCACGGUCAAAUGCCUGCGCAACAUCAAGAAAAACCGCCACACGGUAUUCUCUCUUUUCUAAGGAGUGUUCUAUAAAUUUAGUUAUUCUACGGAGUUGGUCAAUUGUAGAAUGUUUCGCUCGGAAACCGAAUUGGACGCCGAUUAUUAGAUUUUGUUUGCCAACUAUCUCGUUCAAUCUUUUGAUGUACAGUUUUUCAAAGAGUUUGCCGAUAACAGGCAACAACGAAAUUGGCCUGUAAGAUGCAGCUUCUGAAGGAAGUUUGUCUGGUUUUAAGAGGACGAAAAUUUCCGAUAUUUCAUUGAGAAGGAAUAUAUUUGCAUCUGAUGACAGCAUUAAAGAUUGAAACUUUCAUUAUUGCUCUGUUAGGCAGGUUUUUCAAAAUCAGUCCUCACAUUUUGUCGAAUCCAGGGUCUUUUUUGCCUUAAUUUUACCCUUUAUCUCUUUAAUAAUAUCUGAGGGAGAUAAGGAUUUUAUUUUUACUGGUGGGAUUUUCUUGAUUUUUCGGGGUUUCAAUGUGGACAUCUCCCCCCCAUUCCGCAAAUCUGAGUCUAAACUGUUGGCGGAAAAAUCCGAAUCAGAUAGUGUUUCUAGAUCUUUGUGCGGUUGAAAAGCAGCUUCAAGAUGGUCAGCUAGAAUCUCUGCUUCUUCAGCAUCGGUAUUAGCCCAUGUUUUGUCUGGUUUGCUGGUUAGGAAUUUUAACUGUUUUCGCCUUUUGAAAUAUUUUGUGGCUGCCCAAAGUGAAUAGUUUUUAUCUGCUGUUGGUGAUAAAGAGUUUAUAAAUUUUUCAAAUUUGUAAUUUAGAAAAUCUUGUGUUCUUUUUUUAACAAUUGAGUUCAGUCUGUUGAAUUUUGAGUUAUCUUCUGGAUAGUGAGUGAAAUUAGCUGCUCUUUUGGCUUUCCUUUUUACACGAAUAAGCUUAAGAAGUUCUUUAGGAAUUGCGUAAGGUUUUAUGUUGUUAACGGCUACAGGUAUAUUGGUUACAGCACAAGUUCUGAUAUUUUCUAUCAACAGUUUCGUCUCUCCGUCAAUAUCUAUCGGAGUGAGGACUGGAACGCUAUUGUCAAUAAGGUUUUCUAAGUCUGAUCUGAAUUUUUUCCAAUCUGUUCCUUUAGAGCAGAUUGUAGGAGGACGAUUUUCGAGGAUUGGAGUUGUGAAAAUCUCCAAGAUGACUUUUGCAUGACCUUUUUCCAUGGACAUUAGAGUAUCGCAUGAAACGUGAUCAAUGAGAUUUAUGUUUUUGAAAAUAAAGAAAUCUAUUAGAUCAGGUCAGGUGGUUUGGAUUGGAGGGGGAAUUUGUCGGUUUUCCGGAAGGAGGAAAUUUCUGGCCAGCCCAUGAGUAGAGACUUUCUACUCAUGGGUCGGCCGAGGAUGGAGCUUUAGGCGCCGAAACGCGUUUCGGCGAAACGCGUCCCUUAAUUAAUUAUACCGCAAGUGACAACACGAAAAAAUGUUCAUCAUUUCUGUUAUACUUGAACGAUCUCUUGAGUAUUUAUUCUUUUCAGAGGAGCAGGGCUCAUGAGAGUUUUACAAAACUAAAAUGAAGACUUUGCAAAGAGUUUAAUUAAUAAAAUCGAAGACUCAGGGCUGCCACAGAAUUGAAAAAAUGAGAUUCCCUGGCAUAUCCCUGAUUUUUCCGUCACAUUUUGGUGCAAUUCCCUGACUAUGGAGGACAUGCCAGAUGCUUAUAAGAAUACAUGAUUUGAAAUGGUUUUCGGGCACCAUUUGUUGUUCGAAACGUCAAACCCAUUCUAGAAAGGAGAUAACUG
rnacentral:lncRNA from 1 species